UACGGGGGGAGCAAGCGUUGUUCGGAUUUACUGGGCGUAAAGGGCGCGUAGGCGGCCAGCACAAGUCAGUUGUGAAAUCUCCGAGCUUAACUCGGAAAGGUCAACUGAUACUGUGCGGCUAGAGUGCGGAAGGGGCAACUGGAAUUCUUGGUGUAGCGGUGAAAUGCGUAGAUAUCAAGAGGAACACCUGCGGCGAAGGCGGGUUGCUGGGCCGACGCUGACGCUGAGGCGCGAAAGCCAGGGGAGCGAACGGG
rnacentral:rRNA from 1 species